rnacentral:lncRNA from 1 species
AUUUCAAUGAGUGCCAUGGCUGGUCAGGUGGUGGUAAAGAGCCUUAGAGGAAUUCUGAACUAGAGAACAACACAGUCACUCUUAACGCUCUGAAAGGUCUCCACUCGAGUGAGUGGGGAGAGGGGUGUGGCAGCGUAGUCUCACGGGUGUGGAACACGUAAGCACAUAACAGAGUGUUUCGGAGGGAGGAUUCCCAGGCCUGCUCAUCUGAGAGGAGCUGGAGCAGGGUCUCCCAGGAGACUUCCGUGAAGAUCCUGGCAGAGGCGGCAGCACUGCAAGGCCUGGCAAGGGCUGAGUCUGUUUCUAAGUGGCUUACUCUCCCAGAGUCCAAGCUUAUCUGGAUCACCCCCAAGACUGGAUCUUCGGAUUUCCUCUCCACUUUGGGAGCUUUCUUACAGGUGACCAGGAGACCUCUUAAACAUAAGUGACAUAAGGAUCCUGGUCUCCUUCCAUCGUUAACUUUGAGGCAACAUCUUACUAAGUUACCCAUGCUGACCUUGAAUGCACUCUGGAGACCAAGCAGGCCUUGGACUCAAGGACUGCUGCUUCUUCUGAAACACACGUGGAGGUGAGGUGUAGCCAUAACUCUAACUGCGAAGCUGUGGACUGUUUCCCAUCCCAACCUCGAUCAACUUUUCCUCAUAAUCUCUUGUCCCAGAGUAGAUGCAUCCAUCCUUUCAUAAAAUAAUUUACUAGGAGAGGAGAAUAAAAUGAACAGAAUUGCCUUAGACUAAUCAAGAUUUAUUUACUGGCAUUGGGGACAAGGUUGCUCUUUCCUUGUAAUAUGCCUCUGCAAUGGAAUGCAGGGAAUUGAAGUAAGACUGGGGCUUGUACUACAAAUACAUUUUAACUGUGUAAGGCGGGGGAGAUAAUUGAGUUGAUAGAAUGCUUACUAGACACACAUGAGGUCCAGCACCAGUGGAAAAGAAAUGUACUUCAUCCUUACAUUAGCACUAAUGGCAGAGGUGGAAUCCCCAGGGCUUUCUACCUAGCCGUUCUAGCCAAUUGGUGUGCUCUGGGCUCAGUGAGUGACACUGUCUUAAAAAAUAAUAUAAAGAUAUGUAAACAAUAUAAAAAAUAAAAAGAACAAUUAAGGAGGGCACUUGAUGUCUGUCGACCUCGGGCUUCCAUGCACAUGCGUGCACAUUGCACAUGCAUCCACACGUACACAUGGACACAUACGUGCAUAAUCACACAGUACAACACACAUGAUAAUAAUAAUAAUAAUAAAUGUCAGAAAGGUGGCUCAAUAGGUAUACUCUGGUCUGGUACAAACACACAUACACACACACACACACACAGAGAGAGAGAGAGAGAGAGACAGAGACAGAGAGAGAGACAGAGACAGAGACAGAGACAGAGACAGAGAGUAAAAGUAAUAAAAGUAAUGAUAAGUACUCUAUCUGUCUGCUGCAGUGAUUAUAACUCACUGGUAGGUAUAAGAAAAGUAGCUACACAUGUGUGUGGCAGACAAGCGGGUGAGCAUCACUCCACCAUGGCCUCCGCUUUCGUUCCUGUCUCCACUUCAAGUUUCUGUUUGACUUCCUGCCCUGACUUCUUCCCUCAGUAAUGAGGUAUGACAAACUGAGACAGCGUCGAAUUCAUUUCUGUUUUCCAAAGGAAGAGACAGUGACCUAGAAUGACACCCAAAGUUGCACAGGCGACUCCCUCCAGCCUUUAUACCAUCACCAAAUAAGCUGCUGCUGCCUCUUCU